GAGGAGGAGGAGGAGGGGGAAGGAUCCUGUGUGUGUCUCUCUCGCUCCCUCUCAGAACAAAAUGCCGACCGGAAGUGCAGCGGCAGGAAUGACUCCCUCCACCGGCGCCAAACACCAGCAACCUCCCCCUUCCCUCCUCCUCGCCCGAUCGCGCCCUCGCUCUACCAGCGUCGCUUCCGCCGCUGCAGCUGGAGGGGCUCCCUUGCCUCGCCUCUCCCGGUAGAGCCUCCCCUGCGUAGCUCCUCUCCCUUCCACAUCCCUCCGGCUGCUGCAGGACCUUCUCUUUUUUUUUUUUUUUCCUUUUUUUAUUUUCCCCCUCCUCCCUGCCUUUUGGUGCGCGGAACGAGACCGAAGUUUACGCUUAAGCCUGCGCUGAGGAUUUGUGAAGAAGGGAUUCUCUUGGAAAAAGAAUACAUGUUUUGGUGUUUAUUUUUUUGUCCUGCCUAAGCAUGGUAGAGAGGACGAGGAGGAGGACUGCAAAAGGCGACCUCGCAGGAGGCAGACGUGGAAAGAGCCCUUAAACUGAACCCUCAAAGGCGGCAGCCCCUGCAGGUGGGACACUCGUUGGAGUUACUGUUGCCGCUCAUGCCCUUUCUCUGUGGAUGUGAGAGGCCGCGCCGCAGGAACAGAAACACCCGCUGCUCAAAGCAUUGCCGGGGCGAGGGAUUUCCAGAUGGAUAUACGGAACGGGAGUGACUUUCAAAAAUGGGCUUUUUGGACGAGCACUGGGGAACUGAUGUUCAGGUGAAAUGUCCUUCGCUGGAGGCUGAGGCUUCACCGCCACCAGAUUUGCGGGAAAUAUUUUAAUUGUGUGUUGUGAAGGAAUGUUUGGAGAAAGAGCAUGCCCUAAUCUGAAAGACUUUCUGGUGUUCCUCUGUACAGUUCACAGGAACAAAUAAUAGCAUUAUGUAACUAAUUGUCUGGGGAAUAUUCACUGUGGAAAAUAAGCAACCUAAAUAUGAAACUCACAGUGGUACAGGUUAAAUAAAAAGCCAAAGAAGCCUGAGGAGUCAAAUAUUUGUAUGGCUACUUGCUUUAAGAUUACAGCUUCAUGGAGACUACUGAUUUUUAUUUAUUUCUCCUGGUAAACCAGAUGGAGGUAAUAUUUUUUCCUUCUUCUAAUUAUUUAGCUUAAUUGACUAACAAGAAUUUAAUAUGAAAUUAAAUGUACAUUUUCAUUUUAAGUGACAAACUUGCAUUAUCUCUACCAUGUUAAGAAUGAGCUUCUGUUUGUACAUAAUAUGAAUUCUAUGGCAGGCAUAUUUAUUGAAUUGCACAAUAAUGUUUCUAUGGAGAAAAAAUGACAAGACAAAAUUCUGGUACUUUCAUUUGAAUGUUAAAAUAAACUCUUGAUUAUGCAAAGUA